GUGGCCUAGGGCUUUCAUGGCUGUUCCUGCUCAGUCUAAGGCUGGACCGCUGCUGCAGGGCUCUGUGCCAUGUCCUGGGCUUUGGUGACACAAGUGCCUCUCCCACACCGGACACCAGGCUAUGCUCUGCCCUCUGCCACCCGCCCUUAUUGUGCUCCCUGCAGCUGCCUGGCGUACCUGGCCAUGCUCCUGACUCAUCUCCACCUGCACUCCUUGUCCUCUGAGGUACAGCACCACUCGCCUUUGGUAGCUGAGUACAUGUCUGAAACGCAAGGCCACUGCGUGACUCAAUUGAGAGGAGGUGGACAGAUCACUUUGGUAAUUACCAGUCAUGGCAUAGAAUGAAUGCUGUGUGCCGGCCAGACACUGAUGUCUGUCUUUUCAGAAGAGGAUAUAUUUCUGGCCAUAUCUUUAUCUCUAGAAAUGAAACUAUUUUGCAAUCAGAAUCGUUUUAGAGUACAAAUACCUACAGUGUUUGCAAUGCCUUACGGAUCCUUAACUGGAACUCUGCAAGCAGUGAACUUUUGUGCUCCACAACACAACUGAAAAGGUAAAAACAGAAACGUUAGCUUCAUGACAGGGCAUAUAUUUUUAUAAGGUCCAGGGCUUGAAUUGGCAAAGAAAUGCCCAUGCUUUUCCUAUGUUGAAUGAAGAAUCAAUACAGAAUACUUUUGUGAUCUAAUGUGUAAAGUUUCCCUCUACCCUACAGCAAGCAAAUAGUCAGUUCUCCAACAAACAAUCAUUUCUGCUGUACACAGUACAACAAAGAUUUUAGAUUUCCCGCAUGAUAGUUCUAUCUGGCUUUUUCACCUUGAGAGAUAUCAUUUAAGUUUAAGAAGCAAAUUAAACAUUAAAUAUUGUUUUUAUCUGUGAUAUGGAGAAGCAC
rnacentral:lncRNA from 1 species